GUACUCACUUCAGCAACACAUAUACUAAAAUUGGAAUGAUACAAAGAAGAUUAGCAUGGCCCCUACACAAGGAUGACACACAAAUUCAUGAAGCAUUCCAUAUUUUU
rnacentral:snRNA from 1 species